GCAGGUUGCCAUUGUGGAGCUGCUGCUUAAGAGAUCCGGUGUGGUGGCUGCUGCUGUGUGAACUUCUGAACACUCACAUUGAAGCUUUGGAAUGAGAUGUUGAGAGGAAAGGAAUAAAUGCUGAAAUGUUAGCUUGAUCCAGAAUUCAAUCUGGUGCGAGGUUUAAUGAGAGCUGAAAACAAACUAAUUGGGCAGCAAAUUAAGGUCGGCGAAGCGUUAAUUGCAUUAGAAGCCAAUUCGGCUCUAGUUGCAUUGAGUCGCGUGAUACCUUUGCGGAUUCACUUCGAGACGUGGAUUCUAGUUGUUGACACCACUACAGGUUUCAGUGCGAGCGUUGUGGCCGAGGAUCAAGGUAAGAGCCAGCAGCCUAGCUAGUGGACACCCGAGUUGUAGUGGUUACCAGUUUGAGUUCAUGUAUCAUCUAUUUCGGUGUACAGAGACAUGUAAAUGAAUGUAAUAAGUGCAUGUAAAUAACUAAAUGUUUCAGUUAUGCAAGUUAGUUUAAAGUUUUAAAUUA